rnacentral:rRNA from 1 species
AACGAACGCUGGCGGCAGGCCUAACACAUGCAAGUCGAACGCCCGUAGCAAUACGGGAGUGGCAGACGGGUGAGUAACGCGUGGGAACGUGCCUUCGGUUCGGAAUAACUCAGGGAAACUUGAGCUAAUACCGGAUACGUCCGUAAGGAGAAAGAUUUAUCGCCGAAGGAUCGGCCCGCGUCGGAUUAGCUAGUUGGUGAGGUAACGGCCCACCAAGGCGACGAUCCGUAGCUGGUCUGAGAGGAUGAUCAGCCACACUGGGACUGAGACACGGCCCAGACUCCUACGGGAGGCAGCAGUGGGGAAUAUUGGACAAUGGGCGAAAGCCUGAUCCAGCCAUGCCGCGUGAGUGAAGAAGGCCUUAGGGUUGUAAAGCUCUUUCAGCGGGGAAGAUAAUGACGGUACCCGCAGAAGAAG